rnacentral:sRNA from 1 species
AGAUUUUUGUUUUGUUUUUGUGUUU